CCCGUACACUAAAACACACAGGUUGUGAACUCGAAGAGUAGGGCGGGACACGUGGUAUCCUGUCUGAAUAUGGGGGGACCAUCCUCCAAGGCUAAAUACUCCUGACUGACCGAUAGUGAACCAGUACCGUGAGGGAAAGGCGAAAAGAACCCCGGCGAGGGGAGUGAAAAAGAACCUGAAACCGUGUACGUACAAGCAGUAGGAGCCCACUAGUUGGGUGACUGCGUACCUUUUGUAUAAUGGGUCAGCGACUUAUAUUCUGUAGCAAGGUUAACCGUAUAGGGGAGCCGCAGGGAAACCGAGUCUUAACUGGGCGUUAAGUUGCAGGGUAUAGACCCGAAACCCGGUGAUCUAGCCAUGGGCAGGUUGAAGGUUGGGUAACACUAACUGGAGGACCGAACCGACUAAUGUUGAAAAAUUAGCGGAUGACUUGUGGCUGGGGGUGAAAGGCCAAUCAAACCGGGAGAUAGCUGGUUCUCCCCGAAAGCUAUUUAGGUAGCGCCUCGUGAACUCAUCUUCGGGGGUAGAGCACUGUUUCGGCUAGGGGGUCAUCCCGACUUACCAACCCGAUGCAAACUACGAAUACCGAAGAAUGUUAUCACGGGAGACACACGGCGGGUGCUAACGUCCGUCGUGAAGAGGGAAACAACCCAGACCGCCAGCUAAGGUCCCAAAGUCAUGGUUAAGUGGGAAACGAUGUGGGAAGGCCCAGACAGCCAGGAUGUUGGCUUAGAAGCAGCCAUCAUUUAAAGAAAGCGUAAUAGCUCACUGGUCGAGUCGGCCUGCGCGGAAGAUGUAACGGGGCUAAACCAUGCACCGAAGCUGCGGCAGCGACGCUUAUGCGUUGUUGGGUAGGGGAGCGUUCUGUAAGCCGUUGAAGGUGGCCUGUGAGGGUUGCUGGAGGUAUCAGAAGUGCGAAUGCUGACAUAAGUAACGAUAAUGCGGGUGAAAAACCCGCACGCCGGAAGACCAAGGGUUCCUGUCCAACGUUAAUCGGGGCAGGGUGAGUCGACCCCUAAGGCGAGGCCGAAAGGCGUAGUCGAUGGGAAACAGGUUAAUAUUCCUGUACUCGGUGUUACUGCGAAGGGGGGACGGAGAAGGCUAUGUUGGCCGGGCGACGGUUGUCCCGGUUUAAGCAUGUAGGCGGAUGUUCCAGGUAAAUCCGGAACGUUACUAACGCUGAGGUGUGAUGACGAGGCACUACGGUGCUGAAGUGACAAAUGCCCUGCUUCCAGGAAAAGCCUCUAAGCAUCAGGUAACAUCAAAUCGUACCCCAAACCGACACAGGUGGUCAGGUAGAGAAUACCAAGGCGCUUGAGAGAACUCGGGUGAAGGAACUAGGCAAAAUGGUGCCGUAACUUCGGGAGAAGGCACGCUGAUGGUAGGUGAAGUGACUUGCUCAUGGAGCUGAAAUCAGUCGAAGAUACCAGCUGGCUGCAACUGUUUAUUAAAAACACAGCACUGUGCAAACACGAAAGUGGACGUAUACGGUGUGACGCCUGCCCGGUGCCGGAAGGUUAAUUGAUGGGGUUAUCCGUAAGGAGAAGCUCUUGAUCGAAGCCCCGGUAAACGGCGGCCGUAACUAUAACGGUCCUAAGGUAGCGAAAUUCCUUGUCGGGUAAGUUCCGACCUGCACGAAUGGCGUAAUGAUGGCCAGGCUGUCUCCACCCGAGACUCAGUGAAAUUGAACUCGCUGUGAAGAUGCAGUGUACCCGCGGCAAGACGGAAAGACCCCGUGAACCUUUACUAUAGCUUGACACUGAACACUGGUCCUUGAUGUGUAGGAUAGGUGGGAGGCUUUGAAGUGUGGACGCCAGUCUGCAUGGAGCCAUCCUUGAAAUACCACCCUUUAAUGG
rnacentral:rRNA from 1 species